GACUACACUGAGCUGCAUAUUUAAAUCAGUAUACUACAACAAUGACCUAGCAUCAUGCACCAUCAAUAAUAAAAUCAAAGCACAUCCAUAUUGUAUGAAUGAUAAAAUAUUUAAACUUUAUAUAGCAUUACAGAUGAAAAAUAUGGGGUUUCUGUAUAUUCUAUAUACAUGGCUUUAAUGCAUAGUAUAUAUUUUCUUUUUGGAAGAAAAUACAGUAUUUGUUUGUAAGGGUGCUAACCCUGGAAUCUAAAUAUACAUGCAGCAAUGCGAAGGUAAGGCUAAAUAUGUUCAACUGGAUUAACACAGACAAUUUCCUUAUAACACAAACUGUAAAUAAGCACUUAUUUCAGAAAGAAUUUGGUUAAGGCUAAAAUAAAUUGAGCCAUGUUGGUAUAAUGGAAGGCAGCUGAUAUCUUUCAUCUGCAAUAGUUUUUUAGUAUAAUCUAUAGAGUCAAUGUUUAUAUAACAGUGCAUUUGACAUAUUAUGUAAUACACACAUAUAUACAUACACACAUACACAGUCGAUGCAGAGGUUUUGUGCAUACCUCUUAAAAGUCCAGAUUUUUUCAGGAUACCACUGAUUUUAAACCUUUGUCCUGCCAUUUGUUUUUUUUUUCUGCUCUUGCGCUUCUGAGAAACACUAAGAAAAGAUCCCAUAAUGCUUGGAAUAAGUGUGUUACUAAACACAGGAACAUCUGCCCAACACAAUUCUGGGGCAUUUCAAUCUAAAUGAGAGCACUUUAAAAGCACUAUGUACAUGUGCAGCCUUGGUUAGCUCCCCAUCUACCUGGAAGACAUGCAUGCUGGCAUGGCAGGGACUCUAUACAAUUCUAAACAUUACUGGCAUGCUCCCUACUCUGGCCCAGGCUCAGUCCAUUCCUGAUUUCAUCUUUUCCAAAAUUACAAGGUAUGGCUUGUGUAUUACUAAAUCAGGGGUGCCCAAAAAGGUAGAUCCCCAGAUAUUUUAAAACUACAGCUUUCAUGAUGCUCUCUCCUUCUAAAGGCAUGCAACGCAUCAUGGGAGUUGUAGUUCUACAACAUCUGGGAAUGUACAAAAUAAAGUACCCAUUAUAUAAUUAAAGGAUGAAAGGAAUUGCAAAUUGGUUUUCAAUUUGUUUAGUGAAUAUGAAUCUUAGUUUUAUAACACUUACAUUUAAAGGUAUAGACAACAUACGGGUAUAGAAGUGGCACAUUAGAUAUUACAUAAAAAUAAGACAAUUGAGAUGUUUAAGGGGUAUGAUAUACUUCCUGGAAUCCAAUUACUCACAGAGGAAUCCUUUACUGGUUUACUCUGGAUAGCAGAGUAAGAAACACUGGAAGUUAUUUAUUAAUGUGUUCUGUUUUUUGUUUUUUUUUAAGUGUUGCCAAGUGCAAAAAUGGAGAAGUCACCAAUGGAAUGAGCUGGUCCCACUGGUGUCCAUGCCGAUUGCUCUACUUUUAGUACUUUAGAUCACUUUUUAGAACAGAACACUCUGAUUAAUAAACAUUAUAAAAAAUGUAAAAUCAGAAGAUCAGUUAACCAUUCAUAUAUGCAGAGACCUGUCACAAACUGUACAUUUAAUUUAAAUAUGUUCUCUAUCAACAGCUCCAUCUUUUGCCAAGGCUAUGAAUUACUCUCAUAUAUGAUAACUGUUUAUACCACUACUAGAUACACCAUCAUACCAAGGGUCUUAAAAAGUCAUGGAUCACAAACCUGAUAUUACAUUAUUCUCACUAUAACACACUGUUCCGUGUUAUUAAAAAUAUGUUUUCUUACUAAUUUGCUGUUUAAAAUGCAAGUUGUACCACACUUAUAGAAAACAAUUUGUCUCCCCAACCAACACUCAAUCAAUUCACAGCAUGUAUGACAUUUAUUAUGCAUGGUGGAUAUGUUAGAUGGGAGUGUGUACAUUAAGCAGCUGUGAAAUAUAUAU